rnacentral:rRNA from 1 species
GACGUAGGGGGCUAGCGUUGUCCGGAAUCAUUGGGCGUAAAGCGCGUGUAGGCGGCCCGAUAAGUCCGCUGUGAAAGUCCAGGGCUCAACCCUGGGAUGCCGGUGGAUACUGUCGGGCUCGAGUCCGGAAGAGGCGAGUGGAAUUCCUGGUGUAGCGGUGAAAUGCGCAGAUAUCAGGAGGAACACCAAUGGCGAAGGCAGCUCGCUGGGACGUGACUGACGCUGAGACGCGAAAGCGUGGGGAGCAAACAGG